rnacentral:rRNA from 1 species
UAUGAACGCUAGCUACAGGCUUAACACAUGCAAGUCGAGGGGCAUCAGGAAGAAAGCUUGCUUUCUUUGCUGGCGACCGGCGCACGGGUGAGUAACACGUAUCCAACCUGCCCUUUACUCGGGGAUAGCCUUUCGAAAGAAAGAUUAAUACCCGAUGGCAUAAUGAUUCCGCAUGGUUUCAUUAUUAAAGGAUUCCGGUAAAGGAUGGGGAUGCGUUCCAUUAGGUUGUUGGUGAGGUAACGGCUCACCAAGCCUUCGAUGGAUAGGGGUUCUGAGAGGAAGGUCCCCCACAUUGGAACUGAGACACGGUCCAAACUCCUACGGGAGGCAGCAGUGAGGAAUAUUGGUCAAUGGGCGCUAGCCUGAACCAGCCAAGUAGCGUGAAGGAUGAAGGCUCUAUGGGUCGUAAACUUCUUUUAUAUAAGAAUAAAGUGCAGUAUGUAUACUGUUUUGUAUGUAUUAUAUGAAUAAGGAUCGGCUAACUCCGUGCCAGCAGCCGCGGUAAUACGGAGGAUCCGAGCGUUAUCCGGAUUUAUUGGGUUUAAAGGGAGCGUAGGUGGACUGGUAAGUCAGUUGUGAAAGUUUGCGGCUCAACCGUAAAAUUGCAGUUGAUACUGUCAGUCUUGAGUACAGUAGAGGUGGGCGGAAUUCGUGGUGUAGCGGUGAAAUGCUUAGAUAUCACGAAGAACUCCGAUUGCGAAGGCAGCUCACUGGACUGCAACUGACACUGAUGCUCGAAAGUGUGGGUAUCAAACAGGAUUAGAUACCCUGGUAGUCCACACAGUAAACGAUGAAUACUCGCUGUUUGCGAUAUACAGUAAGCGGCCAAGCGAAAGCGUUAAGUAUUCCACCUGGGGAGUACGCCGGCAACGGUGAAACUCAAAGGAAUUGACGGGGGCCCGCACAAGCGGAGGAACAUGUGGUUUAAUUCGAUGAUACGCGAGGAACCUUACCCGGGCUUAAAUUGCAGUGGAAUGAUGUGGAAACAUGUCAGUGAGCAAUCACCGCUGUGAAGGUGCUGCAUGGUUGUCGUCAGCUCGUGCCGUGAGGUGUCGGCUUAAGUGCCAUAACGAGCGCAACCCUUAUCUUUAGUUACUAACAGGUUAUGCUGAGGACUCUAGAGAGACUGCCGUCGUAAGAUGUGAGGAAGGUGGGGAUGACGUCAAAUCAGCACGGCCCUUACGUCCGGGGCUACACACGUGUUACAAUGGGGGGUACAGAAGGCAGCUAGCGGGUGACCGUAUGCUAAUCCCAAAAGCCUCUCUCAGUUCGGAUCGAAGUCUGCAACCCGACUUCGUGAAGCUGGAUUCGCUAGUAAUCGCGCAUCAGCCACGGCGCGGUGAAUACGUUCCCGGGCCUUGUACACACCGCCCGUCAAGCCAUGGGAGCCGGGGGUACAUGAAGUACGUAACCGCAAGGAUCGUCCUAG